rfam:Triticum aestivum genome assembly, contig: Triticum_aestivum_CS42_TGACv1_scaffold_221966_3B
AUUAUACUCCCUCCGUCCCAAAAUAACUGUCUCAAACUUAGUACAACUUUGUACUAGAGCUAAUACAAAGUUGAGACACUUAUUUUGGGACGGAGGGAGUACUUU